UGCGUAGGUGGCCAGGAAAGUCUGAUGUGAAAGCCCCGAGCUCAACUCGGGAAAUGCAUUGGAUACUACUUGGCUUGAGGAUCGGAGGGGAGACUGGAAUUCUCGGUGUAGCAGUGAAAUGCGUAGAUAUCGAGAGGAACACCAGUGGCGAAGGCGAGUCUCUGGACGAUUCCUGACACUGAGGCACGAAAGCUAGGGGAGCAAACA
rnacentral:rRNA from 1 species